rnacentral:tRNA from 1 species
UCUAAUAUGGCAGAAUAGUGCAUUGGAUUUAAGUCCCAAAAAUAAAGUUUUCCUUUUUUUAGAA